rnacentral:rRNA from 1 species
GAGUUUGAUCUUGGCUCAGGAUGAACGCUAGCGGCAGGCUUAAUACAUGCAAGUCGAGGGGCAGCGGGGGUAGCAAUACCUGCCGGCGACCGGCAAACGGGGUGCGGAACACGUACACAACCUUCCUUUUAGUGGGGGAUAGCCCAGAGAAAUUUGGAUUAAUACCCCGUAAGAUAUUUUAGUGGCAUCACUUAGAUAUUAAAGCUCCGGCGCUAGAAGAUGGGUGUGCGUCUGAUUAGGUAGUUGGUAGGGGUAACGGCCCACCAAGCCAACGAUCAGUAACUGGUGUGAGAGCACGACCAGUCACACGGGCACUGAGACACGGGCCCGACUCCUACGGGAGGCAGCAGUAAGGAAUAUUGGUCAAUGGACGCAAGUCUGAACCAGCCAUGCCGCGUGGAGGAUGAAGGUCCUCUGGAUUGUAAACUUCUUUUAUCUGGGAAGAAAUGCAUUUUUUCUAAAGUGUUUGACGGUACCAGAUGAAUAAGCACCGGCUAACUCCGUGCCAGCCG